rnacentral:rRNA from 1 species
CCCUUAGAUGUUCUGGGCCGCACGCGCGCUACACUGACGAAGUCAGCGAGCAUCUCCUUCGCCGAAAGGUGCGGGGAAUCUUGUGAAACUUUGUCGUGCUGGGGAUUGAUUUUUGAAAUUCUUGAUCAUCAACGAGGAAUUCCUAGUAAGCGCAAGUCAGCAGCUUGCGUUGAUUACGUCCCUGCCCUUUGUACACACCGCCCGUCGCUCCUACCGAUUGAGUGGUCCGGUGAGGCUUUGGGAUCUGAGCGGAAAGAGCGUUUCGCUGUUUCUGCUCGGAAAACUCAGUCGAACCUUAUCAUUUAGAGGAAGGAGAAGUCGUAACA